rnacentral:rRNA from 1 species
CCUACGGGUGGCUGCAGUGGGGAAUAUUGGACAAUGGGGGCAACCCUGAUCCAGCCAUGCCGCGUGUGUGAAGAAGGCCCUCGGGUUGUAAAGCACUUUCAGUGAGGAAGAACGCCUGGUGGUUAAUACCCAUCAGGAAAGACAUCACUCACAGAAGAAGCACCGGCUAACUCCGUGCCAGCAGCCGCGGUAAUACGGAGGGUGCGAGCGUUAAUCGGAAUUACUGGGCGUAAAGCGCGCGUAUGUGGCUUGAUAAGCCGGUUGUGAAAGCCCCGGGCUCAACCUGGGAACGGCAUCCGGAACUGUCAAGCUAGAGUGCAGGAGAGGAAGGUAGAAUUCCCGGUGUAGCGGUGAAAUGCGUAGAGAUCGGGAGGAAUACCAGUGGCGAAGGCGGCCUUCUGGACUGACACUGACACUGAGGUGCGAAAGCGUGGGUAGCAAACAGGAUUAGAUACCCUGGUAGUC